rnacentral:rRNA from 1 species
ACAUAGUCAUAUGGCCGCGGUACCCUGACCGUGCAAAGGUAGCAUAAUCACUUGCCCCUUAAUUAGGGGCUGGCAUGAAAGGACACACGAAAGCUUCCCUGUCUCACAAUAACAAAUAAAAAUUAAUCUUCAAGUGAAAAAGCUUGAAUAAAAUUGCAGGACAAGAAGACCCCGUUGAGCUUUAUUCUCUAUAGACUAAAUCAAAUAUUAAAUACAUCAUAAACCUAAAAAGAAUUUAGUUGGGGUGACUAAGGAACACCGAAAACUUCCUUUUAUUAAUUAGGAUCAUUCUCCAUACAAAUUGACCCAUUACACAUGAUCAAAAAAAUAAGCUACCACAGGGAUAACAGGCUAAUCUUUCUCAAGAGCCCAAAUUGUCAGAAAGGAUUGGCACCUCGAUGUUGGCUUAGGGGCCCCUAAUGGUGCAGAAGCCAUAAAUGGUAGGUUUGUUCAACCUUUAAAACCCUACGUGAUCUGAGUUCA